rfam:Oryza barthii chromosome 5, whole genome shotgun sequence.
AAAAAAGCAAACUCUGAGUUUCCGUGUCCAACUUUAACUGUCUAUUUUAUAUAAAAUAUUUUUAUAAUUUGUAUUUUUAUUGUUGUUAGAUAAUAAAGCAUGAUUAAUAUUUUAUGCGUGACUUGUCUUUUUAAUUUUUUUUAUAAUUUUUUUAAAUAAGACGGACGGUCAAACGUUGGACAUAGAGACCAGGGUUCGUCUUUUU